GCCAACUGUUACCAGGUGCCUGCCCAGAGCAGGCCCACUGCAAGGCCCACUGCUAAAAGAACAAACUUGGGCGCUUCGCAGAGGACUCUGGAACUCCCGGGUGCCUGUUACCCAAAGAGACUGGAGAGACAUCGGACUCAGCGCUCCCCAAGGGCCUUUCCACGGCUAACCUUUCAUUUUCUCAGCGAGCAUUUCCUAGCUCUUGGAGCCCAUCUUUGAUGAACACCUCUUCAGGCACAACACUGUGCCUGAUAUUCACUAACUCAGAUAAUCCGCGUAGAAUCUUCCCAACAGCUUCACAAGGAGUUGCAGAAACACAAUGAAGAGCCCCCCUCAGCCUGCCCCCGAGAGAAGAUGGUUUAAAACAUUCGCCUGCCCUUCCACGCACCCUUACCCCCAACCCAUGAACACAGAGUGUGAAUAAGAGAUCAUGCUUUUGGUGUCAUUUCUACAAACUCUUCAUCAAGCCCUACGUCCUACAGAUUUUCUCCUUUGAAACUACAACAGCACCUCCAUCCCAGCCUUCCUUACCAACCUUCUUGUUUUUCUUUGUCUCCGUAGCACUCCAUUAUACAUUUGAUUAUUUGUGUAUUGUCUGCCUUGCCCUGCUGGACUCGAAGUCCCACU